CCCAUGCGUGGCUCGCCCUGCCCCCAUGGGCAUCUCAGCCCAUGGGACUCUUGCUGCAGUGACCCCAGGACGCUUGUCCCACCCCCAUGGCUCUUCGGCUUUGUGCAGGAUUUACUCCUGAGUAUUUCUCUUCUCUUGGAAGAUAUCCCGCAAGGCAGCGGAGAUUUAGGCGUUUCUGUGCACUGCUCUGGUUUGCCAGAAGUGGCUUAGUCCUGCUGGCCACAUGACCCGGAAGCUGUACGCCGGCUCCCUCGGCCAAUAAAGCGAGAUGAGCGCCGCAACCCCAGCGUCGGCCACGACUGGACCUAAUGGUCAGGGGACGCGGGUGGUGCUAUUGGUUAAACCACAGAGCCUAGGACUUGCCGAUCAGAAGGUCGGCGGUUCGAAUCCCCGCAAUGACGGGGUGAGCUCCCAUUGCUCGGUCCCUGCUCCUGCCAACCUAGCAGUUCGAAAGCACAUCAAAGUGCAAGUAGAUAAAUAGGUACCGCUCCAGCGGGAAGGUAAACGGCGUUUCCGUGCGCUGCUCUGGUUCGCCAGAAGCGGCUUAGUCCUGCUGGCCACAUGACCCAGAAGCUGUACGCCGGCUCCCUCGGCCAGUAAAGCGAGAUGAGCGCCGCAACCCCAGAGUCGGCCAC